UGGAACUGCCUCGGGUCCUGUUGCCGGCCGGUGCUUUUCCGCGGACCCGGGUUCUGGGUCCCGAAGGGGCCCGCUGGCUGGGGUCGGGGCGGAUUACACACCUCUUGCGGCGUAUUUCAGCUUCACUUGAUUAACUUCCUACGUUCGGGGAAAACUGGGGUUUGUUGGCUUCCAUAAAGUUUCAGUUUGACUAUAUGACAUUUAGCAUAAAUGGCUCCAUUCUGGUUUGUCUGUGUGUUGAGGGCCAGCUCAGACGAGGGACACCUACACAUAUAUUCCCACAGCACUCCAUAUCUGAGACUGUGAACUACGAUGGCAAGACAUUUGGAUCUUCUCUCCCUGCCAAAGUCAUGGAAGCCCUAACAUUGGCUGAAGCUCCCUGCUAAUGCGCCUGGGAAAGCAGUGGAAGAUGGCCCAAAUCUGGAACCCUGCACCCACGUAGGAGACCAGAAGAAGCUCUUGGCUCCUGGCUUUGGUCAUAGCGACCAUUUGGGGAGUGAACCAGCAGAUGGA